rnacentral:rRNA from 1 species
GACGAACGCUGGCGGCGUGCUUAACACAUGCAAGUCGAGCGGUAAGGCCCUUUCGGGGGUACACGAGCGGCGAACGGGUGAGCAACACGUGGGUGACCUGCCCUUAGCUCUGGGAUAAGCCUGGGAAACUGGGUCUAAUACCGGAUAUGACUCCAUGACGCAUGUUGUGGGGUGGAAAGCCUUGUGCGGCUAGGGAUGGGCCCGCGGCCUAUCAGCUUGUUGGUGUGGNGAUGGCCUACCAAGGCGACGACGGGUAGCCGGCCUGAGAGGGCGACCGGCCACACUGGGACUGAGACACGGCCCAGACUCCUACGGGAGGCAGCAGUGGGGAAUCUUGCGCAAUGGGCGAAAGCCUGACGCAGCGACGCCGCGUGAGGGAUGACGGCCUGGUGU